rnacentral:lncRNA from 1 species
AGAGAGGGGGUUCCAAGAAGAAAAGGAAACUCUUAGGACACUAAAUCAUAUUUCCCAGGAAAACAAACCUAAGAAUUGGAGGAUGGAGAAGUGGGCACAGACAUCUCUAGUGAUCUUUUGGCUUCAACUGAGCUGUGAGUAGAAUUUCUACAAAUGUCAGGGACUACCAGAAAAACCAGAGGAUUGUGGCUCAGAAAUGAAGAGGGAAAAUGACCUUCAUUCAGACUUUCUGGGAGCCCUGUGUAGUUCCAAUGGAGAGUAGUUAUAAACACUUUGCACACUUGACCUGGUGUCACUCUCUGUGGCUUACGUUUAUGUAUUACUUGUUCAUUCCUUUUACUUGUUCAUUUCUUUUCUACACAGGGGUGAGCAGUGAGGACAAGGUGAUACAGAGUCCCCCUUCUCUGGUUGUCCAUGAGGGAGACAGUGCAACUCUCAACUGCAGCUAUGAAAUGGCCAACUUUCAAAGCCUACACUGGUACAAGCAGGAAGAAAAAGCUCCCACUUUUCUGUUUAUACUAGUUUCAAGUGGGGCAGAGAAGAAGUUGGGAAGAUUAAGCGGCUCCUUAAAUAAGAAACUUAGCACCCUGCACAUCACAGCCACCCAGCCUGGAGACGCAGCCACCUACCUCUGUGCUGUAGAGGCAC